AUUGAACGCUGGCGGCAGGCCUAACACAUGCAAGUCGAACGAGUGGCGGACGGGUGAGUAAUGUCUGGGAAACUGCCCGAUGGAGGGGGAUAACUACUGGAAACGGUAGCUAAUACCGCAUACCAUCGGAUGUGCCCAGAUGGGAUUAGCUAGUUGGUGGGGUAACGGCUCACCUAGGCGACGAUCCCUAGCUGGUCUGAGAGGAUGACCGGCAACACUGGACCUGGGACACGGUCCGGACUCCUACGGGUGCAAGAAGUGGGGAAUAUUGCAAAAUGGGCGCAAGCCUGAUGCAGCCAUGCCGGGUGUAUGAAGAAGGCCUUCGGGUUGUAAAGUACUUUCAGCAGGGAGGCGUUACUCACAGAAGAAGCACCGGCUAACUCCGUGCCAGCAGCCGCGGUAAUUC
rnacentral:rRNA from 1 species